rnacentral:rRNA from 1 species
UACGUAGGUGGCGAGCGUUGUCCGGAUUUAUUGGGCGUAAAGGGCGCGUAGGCGGCGCGGUAUGUCACCUGUGAAAUCUCCUGGCUCAACUGGGAGCUUGCAGGCGAAACUGCCGUGCUGGAGUGUGGGAGAGGUGCGUGGAAUUCCUGGUGUAGCGGUGAAAUGCGUAGAUAUCAGGAGGAACACCUGUGGCGAAAGCGGCGCACUGGACCACAACUGACGCUGAGGCGCGAAAGCUAGGGGAGCAAACAGG